rnacentral:rRNA from 1 species
GAUGAACGCUGGCGGCGUGCCUAAUACAUGCAAGUCGAGCGAACGGACGAGAAGCUUGCUUCUCUGAUGUUAGCGGCGGACGGGUGAGUAACACGUGGAUAACCUACCUAUAAGACUGGGAUAACUUCGGGAAACCGGAGCUAAUACCGGAUAAUAUUUUGAACCGCAUGGUUCAAAAGUGAAAGACGGUCUUGCUGUCACUUAUAGAUGGAUCCGCGCUGCAUUAGCUAGUUGGUAAGGUAACGGCUUACCAAGGCAACGAUGCAUAGCCGACCUGAGAGGGUGAUAGGCCACACUGGAACUGAGACACGGUCCAGACUCCUACGGGAGGCAGCAGUAGGGAAUCUUCCGCAAUGGACGAAAGCCUGACGGAGCAACGCCGCGUGAGUGAUGAAGGUCUUCGGAUCGUAAAACUCUGUUAUUAGGGAAGAACAUAUGUGUAAGUAACUGUGCACAUCUUGACGGUACCUAAUCAGAAAGCCACGGCUAACUACGUG